rnacentral:piRNA from 1 species
UCUCAGCAAGGCAAUCUUUACUUUCUGCAGA